UGAAUACAUGUAAUGCAUGCAAUUAAAUGCAUAAAUCCUAACUGCACGUGCAUCAAAUUUGACAAAUGCAUACACAUUUGUAAACCAAACUUUUAUCAAGAUGUAGAACAUGACCCUUCCUCACCAACUCUUGCCCCCCAUCACAGUCAACCACUGUUCUGAUAUUUUCACCAUAGAAAAAUUUGCCUAUUCUAGAACUUUAUGUACACAGAACCAGACAAUAUAUACUUUAUUGUAUAAGAUUUCUUUUACUCAAAAUAACAUUCUUAGAAUUAUUCAUAUUGUUGCCUGUAUCAGUAGCUCAUUCCAUUUUAUUGUUGAAUAGUGAUUUGUCGUAUGGAUAUACCAUAGUUUGAUUAUUCUCAUAUUGAUGGGGAUACCUGGGCUGUUUCCAGUUUAGAGUUAUUGUGAUUAAAAUUGAACAUUCUUACAUGUCUUUUUGUGAAGAUAUUUAAUUUCUCCUGGGUAAAUACCUAACAGUAAAACUGUUCUGUCAGAGGAUUAAGUAUUUAGUUAAGGGUUU
rnacentral:lncRNA from 10 species